AUGCUGUGGUUUUCAGUGUGUGCAGACGAGGGAGGCCAAGAGAGAUCUGGAGGAUAUUAAGAAAGAAGCACCUCUUGCAUUUGGUGACUGGUUUGGAGAAAAGGAGUGGUGCCUGUAGAUGUUUGGACGGGGGUGGCCGCUCCCACAGAUGACAUUACAGGAGGAGAAGCAGGUAGGAAGUGAACGGUGUGGAGUUUGACCCUGGCAACUUUGAGAUAAGGGUAGGCAGUCUGAGAUGCAGGAGGAAGUUGGAGGUAGAGGACGUACUAGUGUGGUGAUGCUGGUUGAAGACAGGAGUGUGUUUAAACCUGGUGAACACUGAAGGACGCACCUGCUGUGUCGUCAGCUUUCACUCAAUUAAAAAAAGCUUAGGGGAUGUCUGCUGUGGUCCCAGAACCUCUGCAGUGACUCUGUUAGCCCUCUGCAGAAGCCUGCAAGGAAGAAUUUGUUUCCCGCUCCCGGGCCAAGCUGAAGAAAGGAUGUAGCUUCCCAUAUUUGUGACCCUGAAGAAGUUGCCUUUCCCAUGGCUCCCUCCUGAAAGAAGUCACGGAAAAUUUCUCAAGGAGUUCAAAGCUGGAGUCUGGAUCCUCUCACAGCAGCUUUCAGAGCCCAGGGGUAGAGCUCAGGAAUCCUCCUUUCUGAGCCUGUGGCCCCCUGCUGCGCGGCCCUCUCCUUGCCCUGAAAAGUCACUGCUCACCCGCCAUGUUUGUUCUUGACCCUAGACCCAGUGAAAGCCCCUGUCCUGGCCUCAGCUCACAUGAAAAGGCACAGGUUACAAUAAUCAGGGAACAAUACGUGUAUCUUCAGGACAUGCCAAGCUUAACCACCGAAGAGAGCUUGGGAUUUGGAGUAUCUGGCAAGGACAGUCACAGUGCCUUCCUGUAUGUCGCUGUUGCUCAUGCAGGUUAAGCAGACCAGCACGUGAUGAUUUAGAUAACUGUGCUGUGACGCGCUUCCUGCCACGCUCAUCCUGCACUUCUGAGGCUCCCUGGCGGACCCCCUCAUGCCCUCCUGAUGCAGUGGACUACUUCAUGACCGGUGGACACCUGCAGAGCUGAAAACCUGACCCUAGGGAGGCUGCUGUCUCUUCCCCCUGAGAGAACAGGGAAGGCUCUCACCUUAGAAGCACAGUCAUGGUAGUAGCUCUGGUUGUCUCUGUGGCCAGAGGGUAGUGAAGGGGGCACAGGUAGCAUUUGGGGAUGACCGGAAGAACACAGACCUGAGGUGGGGUGAUGGUGGAGCAUCUGGGCUAUUGUGUGGGGCUGGAUGCUGGAUAUGGACCCUUGGGCACAGGGUCUGUUAAGGGAUGGGAUGCAGGAAGCCCAGGGGGAGCAUUCACCAAGGGCUCAGGUUUAGAUUUUUAUAUGAUAGCAAUAAAUAUGGGCAUGGAGAUACAGGGACAGGACUGAAAGGCUUUCUGUCCCUUAAAACUGGCAGCUCCUGGCUUUCAGCUCUUAUGAUGGGUCAAGCACAGCCGCUGCUCACAAGUAAGAGAAUAGUGUGGGGUUAAAAUUUAUAGAACCUACAGUGUUUAUAAUACACUGGAAAAAAUAUGCACAUACACCCAUACAAUAUAUAUAUUACAUAUUACAUACAAUAUAUAUGCCAUUAAAUUCUGUACUCUUAUGUGGCUUGUACUUUUGUGUUCAUAUAAUAAUUUGCUCAAUGUAAUGAUUUAGAUGACGUCAGAAGUUUUGUGAUCAGUGUCUGGAACAUUCCUUUUCUGACUGGCUGUGAGGCGCAGCCCCUGGAGGCCUAGCUGGCCCUUCUUUGCCAGCAGGGCCUGUGGGGAGAUGGCUGGUCCCUCUGAGCCUUCCUCUGCAGAUGGUGGGCUUGAGGUUGUCCAGGCUGCCAAUAGGACACCAUCUUUUUUUUGUUGUUAAGAAAAAAAAAAAAAAUCAGUAAAUGUCUCAUCUGCCCAUCCAGAAAGAUGGGGACCAAAUGAACAGUGUUUACCUCUUGGGAGAGUGGAAGGAUAUCUGCAUUUUUAUAUAUUGUGUGUUUCAGUGCACCAAAAGAGUGAGAGUUAUGAUUUUUUCCUUUUGUGGUUUUCUGUACCUUUAAAUAAAUAAAAUUAAAAAUAAAGCCCAGUCACUGCAUUCUGGGAAUAUUUGUGCUGAGUAGUCAUGUUCUAAGGUCACGGAGAUAGGGUUUCCCCGACUCAGAAAGCCUGUCAGCACAAAUGCACUGACUCCUGUGGCUUCCCCUAUUGCCUCUGCCAAGCCUGGGACCCUGAUUGCCCAUCUUCUGUUGGAGGUGAGGAGUCCUUUCAUGGUUCCUCUUGAACUUUAGGACAACUUAGGUGCCCUGAAGUACUUAAGGAGUCCUUUUUUGGAAGGGAGUUAUUGAAAUUGUGCCGAUUUUUUUCCAGAGGUGGACCCUAAGCUCCAGAUGACAAGUGCUUCCGCGCGGAGAGGGUGGUUCCGAGUCCUUGGUGAAAGGGAUCUGGAGUUUGGUGCCUCUCCUUUUCUCCUAAAAACAGAUAGGUGGUUCAGACCACGGAGGGUUUCUAUUUUUGGCGGGAGAAGAAACACGGAACUCCACCACUGCGGGACAUCCUUAACAACAGCAGGCCGACUGAGGGAAAAUGGAAAUGGAUCAUAUUUUAAAACAGUGUUAGGGGUGUUGUUCCCAGACCACAGCCCAGCAGGGAUAUUUUAUCCGGUCCUCAGUGCAGGUCUGCCCCCUAUGGGCCAGAUUCUCGAUUUAUUAGUUUCAUCAAGUCUGGUAAGGCUCAGAAGAUGCGUCUUUA